GGUGUAGCUUAGCAGUAGAGCACGUGCUUACCACGCACGAGGUCCUGGGUUCAACCCCCAGCGCC
rnacentral:tRNA from 1 species